UCUGGCAGUGUUUGGCAAUGGUAGAACUCACACUGGUGAGCUAUGAAGAUCCGGUGGUUCUAGACUUGCCAACUAUGGCCUGGGA
rnacentral:pre_miRNA from 21 species